GAAUCUGAAGAACACUGGACAAAUGAGACAACUGAAGAAAAAGGACAAAACAUCUGUCCCAAGAAGAAGAGUUAAAUGGCCUAUUGGCAUAUCAUCUAUAAAAUUUCGUGCCAGACUAAUUGGUUUGUAAACUUCCAGGUUUCUCAGUCUCCACCUCUCUUCAAGCUGCAGGAGAGCUGGAAUUAUGGAGACAGGGGUUUCUCUACAUAGUCCUGGUUUUUCUGGAACUCACUCUGUAGUCUAGACUGGCCAAGCUGGACCCUGAACUCUGGAUCAUCCUGCCUGCACCUUAAGAGUGCUAUGAUUACAGAGGUGGAGAUUGGUGGGAUUGAGAAUCGGGAUGUGAAAGGCACAAAGGAAAAAUAAAAAGAAAGCUAAAAGAGAGAAAAGAAAUUUCCUCCAUUAUAUAGCCUCUGUCUUGGAAGGAAUUCCUGUCUAUACUACAAGGAAGCUCAGUAAGGCAUAGAAUACUCUAAGGGAGAGGGGUAAAAACCUUCCAUCCUGCAAGGAAUAUCCAUUAACUCAGGAAGUAAACAACAGGAAGUUCUUGAAGCUGAACAGAUUCACAAAGUACCUCCCUCCCAAAGACAAUAUAAGUAGUAAGGACUGCUGAGAGAUACUCUUAGAUAAGCUGGGCUGCAUAGAAGAGGUACAGACCAGCAAGACGACAUAUAAGGAAGAGAGACCAACAAAAAUGGAAGAAGCAGAAACUAGUUGAUAUUUCUAGAAGAUGUAGAGACAAGAUGAACUGCCUUAGAAGACUCUCAGAUCAGUUGAUCUCCUGGAAGAGACAGAACAGCAAAGCUUCCUGAAAGGAGCAGAAGCCAGCCAAACUGCCCGAAAGAGACAGACCAAUUGAGCUAUAUGGAAAGUACAUUUUUCCACCUAAGGAGCCCCCUGAAAGUUUUGUAGUAUGUUCAAGGUUUCCAUGUUUCAUUGGUAGCCAUCAAGACUUGGGUGGGAUUUUGGAGAUGCAGCUGUCUUGAAACAACUUGUGCUCCUCUAAGUGACCCUUCACCCAUAUUUCCAUAUGGAAC